rnacentral:lncRNA from 1 species
AUGCCAUGCAUGAUUUUAGGUGGGGAAAAUGUCACUUAUUUUUCACUUUGUCACCCAGGCUGGAGUGCAGUGGCGCAAUCUUGGCUCACUGAAAUCUCUACCUCUUGGGUUCAACGUGAUUCUCCUGCCUCAGCCUCCCGAGUAGCUGUGGUUACAGGCGUGCACCACACCCAGCUAAUUUUUGUAUUUUUAGUAGAGAUAGGGUUUCACCAUGUUGGUCAGGCUGGUCUCAAACUAAAAGGGAUUUUUUUUCAAGUUUACCUCUUUUCUUGACCAAAUCAGGGUAUUCUUCCACAGAAUGAACUGGAGUAUUGGCACAUUAGGGUCUUUGAGAAAUUCAUGAAUUUCUCAGAAUUAAGUAAAGAAGGUUAACAUAAUUAAGUUAACCCCAAUUUAAGAGGGUUCAUUAGAAAAUUAUAAAUCCACAUUGUUUAAAUUUUUAUGAUUAAAUACAGCUACUUACAAUAAUAAAAUUCUGCACCAUGGUGAUACGUAUUAUAUAAAAAUGUAUAACUUAUCUAGUGGAUCACUCCAGAAAAGAUGACAAGAGGUGAAUUCAAGGCCCUCUUGACUCUCUUGUUGGUUUGGUCUCACAGGGUGCAAACAAGUCUUUACGAUGUUUGAUUAUUCUCCCUUGUCAUGAACAGAUCUUCCUCUAGGGCUGAGAUAGGGAUAGAUGCAGGGAAAAGGUCAUGGAGCAUUGAAAAUUACUGUAAAAAUAUGAGAUUUUUCAGGUUAAAUGAAUUUUAAAGUUAAUUUCUUAUCAUUUUAGACCUAAUUUCAGUAUAUAAAGUCAGGCGGCACGUAAGGACAUUUCACCAACACCAGGCCACAUACACAAUGGUGGUCCCAUAAGAUUAUAACACCAUGUUUUUACUGUAUUAAGGUCACUAAUGAAUAGUCGUAGUCAAUUCUCAGUCCUCAGACACAGCUUACUCUGCUACAAUUUGUUUUGUUUUUCUUGAAUUCCAGAGUAUUAAAGAAUAUUGGUUUUCCGCCUGUCUCAUUAACUACUCUUUUUUUUUUUCAGACAGGGUCUCACUGUCUUGCCCAGGCUGAAAUGCAAAGGUGUGAUGACAACUCACUGCACCCUUGAACUCUCAGGCUCACGCAACUCUCUCGGCCUCCCAGGUAGCUGAAACUACAAGUGCAUAUAUCACCAUCAGACGAAUUGUUUUCUAUUUUUUUGUAGAGAUAGGAUCUCACUGUGUUGCCUGGGCUCGUCUCAAACACCUGAGCUCAAGUGAUCUUCCUGCCUCAGUCUCCCAAAGUGCUGGGAUUACAGGCAUGAGACAUGAUGCCUGGCCACUGCCACUUUUUCAGACUCCUCCAUGACUAAUAAAGACCCCAAAUUUAAAAUACCCGGAAGUGAACUUCCUCCCCCAACCCCUCCCCCACCAAAACUUGCCUAGCCUGUGUUACUCCCUGUCUUGGUCAUUGUUGACUCUCCUACUUCUCCGAGACCAACAUACAAUCUGUUAAUUCCAU